rnacentral:rRNA from 1 species
UGGGGAAUAUUGGACAAUGGGGGAAACCCUGAUCCAGCAAUGCCGCGUGAGUGAUGAAGGCCUUCGGGUUGUAAAGCUCUUUUGUCAGGGACGAUGAUGACGGUACCUGACGAAUAAGCUCCGGCUAACUUCGUGCCAGCAGCCGCGGUAAUACGAAGGGAGCUAGCGUUGUUCGGAAUUACUGGGCGUAAAGGGCGUGUAGGCGGUACCAUAAGUCAGAUGUGAAAGCCCUAGGCUUAACCUAGGAGGUGCAUUUGAUACUGUGGAACUAGAGAUCGAGAGAGGAAAGUGGAAUUACGAGUGUAGAGGUGAAAUUCGUAGAUAUUCGUAAGAACACCAGUGGCGAAGGCGACUUUCUGGCUCGAUACUGACGCUAAGGCGCGAAAGCGUGGGGAGCAAACAGGAUUAGAUACCCUGGUAGUCCACGCUGUAAACGAUGAGUGCUAGAUGUUGGUGAAGGAAUUCAUCAGUGUCGCA